CUUCGGUUGAUGAUGAAGACGGUGAA
rnacentral:piRNA from 1 species